CAGUCGCCGCGGUAAUACGGAGGGAGCUAGCGUUGUUCGGAAUUACUGGGCGUAAAGCGCACGUAGGCGGUUUAUCAAGUCAGAGGUGAAAGCCCGGGGCUCAACCCCGGAACUGCCUUUGAAACUAGUAGACUUGAAUCUUGGAGAGGUCAGUGGAACUCCGAGUGUAGAGGUGAAAUUCGUAGAUAUUCGGAAGAACACCAGUGGCGAAGGCGACUGACUGGACAAGUAUUGACGCUGAGGUGCGAAAGCGUGGGGAGCAAACAGGAUUAGAUACCCCCGUAGUCCCUGUCUCUUAUAC
rnacentral:rRNA from 1 species